GGUUCGAUGGCGUAGUUGGUUAUCGCAUCUGUCUAACAUCUGUAGGUUGAAUAUGCCGUACACAGAAGGUCCCCAGUUCGAGCAUGGGUCGAAUCA